GAACUACUCCCUCCGUUCAGAAUUACUUGUCACAAAAAUGGAUAAAAAUGAAAGUAUCUACAACAAAAAUACAUCUACAUACAUUCAUUUCUUGGACAAGUAAUUCCGAACGGAGGGAGUACCUC
rfam:Triticum aestivum genome assembly, contig: Triticum_aestivum_CS42_TGACv1_scaffold_224871_3B